CCUACGGGUGGCAGCAGUGAGGAAUAUUGGUCAAUGGCCGGAAGGCUGAACCAGCCAAGCCGCGUGAAGGACGACGGUGCUAAGCAUUGUAAACUUCUUUUGUCAAGGGACAAAAUCAGGCUCGAGAGCCUGAACGAGGGUACUCGAAGAAAAAGCAUCGGCUAACUCCGUGCCCGCAGCCCCGGUAAUUCGGAGGAUGCGAGCGUUAUCCGGAUUUAUUGGGUUUAAGGGGUGCGUAGGCGGACUGUUAAGUCAGCGGUAAAAGCCCGGGGCUCAACCCCGGCGCGCCGUUGAAACUGGCUGUCUGGAGAGGUCGAGAAGUAUGCGGAAUGCGCGGUGUAGCGGUGAAAUGCUUAGAUAUCACGCAGAACUCCGAUUGCGAAGGCAGGAUACCGGCGGCGAACUGACGCUGAGGCACGAAAGCGUGGGUAUCGAACAGGAUUAGAUACCCCUGUAGUC
rnacentral:rRNA from 1 species